UGCCAGCCGCCGCGGUAAUACGAACCGUACGAACGUUAUUCGGAAUCACUGGGCUUAAAGAGUGCGUAGGCGGCUUAGAAAGUUGGGUGUGAAAGCCCUCGGCUCAACCGAGGAAUUGCGCUCAAAACUACUAAGCUUGAGGGAGGCAGAGGUAAGCGGAACUAAUGGUGGAGCGGUGAAAUGCGUUGAUAUCGUGAGGAACAUCGGUGGCGAAGGCGCCUUUCUGGACAGAUACUGACACUGAGGUGCGAAAGCGUGGGUAGCGAACAGGAUUAGAUA
rnacentral:rRNA from 1 species